UUUCCUAGAUGGAUUGGUGCCUUCGGGAACAUAGAAACAGGUGCUGCAUGGCUGUCCUCAGCUCGUGUCGUGAGAUGUUGGGUUAAGUCCCGCAACGAGCGCAACCCUUGUCCUUAUUUGCCAACACGUAAUGGGGGGAACUUUAAGGAUACUGCCGGUGACAAACCGGAGGAAGGGGGGGAUGACGUCAAGUCAUCAUGGCCCUUACGGCCUGGGCUACACACGUGCUACAAUGGUCGGUACAAAGGGUUGCCACCCCGCGAGGGGAAGCUAAUCCCAAAAAACCGAUCGUAGUCCGGAUCGCAGUCUGCAACUCGACUGCAUGAAGUCGGAAUCGCUAGUAAUCGCGA
rnacentral:rRNA from 1 species